rnacentral:rRNA from 1 species
CUUCAUGAAGUCGGAAUUGCUAGUAAUGGCAGGUCAGCAUACUGCCGUGAAUACGUUCCCGGGCCUUGUACACACCGCCCCGUCACACCAUGAGAGUUGGAGAUACCCGAAGUCUAUGAGCUAACUUUUAGAGGCAGUAGUCGAAGGUAGAAUCAAUGAUUGGGGUGAAGUCGUAACAAGGUAGC